rnacentral:tRNA from 1 species
GCUGUAGUGGCGCAAUUGGCGGACGCACUUCGUUCAGAGCGAAGCAGUUGCAGGUUCAAAUCCUGUCUACAGCA